GACGAACGCUGGCGGCGUGCCUAAUACAUGCAAGUCGAACGCAGUGGGGACGGUUGAGGAACACGUGGGUAACCUCCCAUCAGAGGGGAUAACACUUGGAAACUGGUGCUAAACCGAUACUGAUGGAUGGACCCGCGGUGCAUUAGCUAGUUGGUGAGGUAACGGCUCACCAAGUCCACGAUGCAUAGCGGGCCUGAGAGGGUGAUCGGCCACACUGGGACUGAGACACGGCCCAGACUCCUACGGGAGGCAGCAGUAGGGAAUCUUGGGCAAUGGACGAAAGUCUGACGGAGCAACGCCGCGUGAGUGAAGAAGGUCUUCGGAUCGUAAAGCUCUUUUGUUAGAGAAGCGGUAGCUACACAGAAAGCAACGGCUAACUCCGUGCCAGCAGCCGCGGUAAUAC
rnacentral:rRNA from 1 species